CACAGGGACUCCAUUUUCAUACUCAGUCAAAGACCAGUUUAAUCACAUUCUGUGAUAGAAGAAAAGAACAUGUGCACAGACAAGUGUGUUUGCUGCAGUCUUUUAGAUCUUCAGGAAAUUUUUGGUUUCUUGAUUCCCCAGUGAUGGCCAGGGCCAGCAACAGUUCUUUCACCCAUACCAAAGUGGCCAUCUACCUCGUCAUUGUGGG
rnacentral:lncRNA from 1 species